rnacentral:rRNA from 1 species
AGUGAACGCUGGCGGUAGGCCUAACACAUGCAAGUCGAACGGCAGCACAGUAAGAGCUUGCUCUUACGGGUGGCGAGUGGCGGACGGGUGAGGAAUACAUCGGAAUCUACUUUUUCGUGGGGGAUAACGUAGGGAAACUUACGCUAAUACCGCAUACGACCUACGGGUGAAAGCAGGGGAUCUUCGGACCUUUCGCGAUUGAAUGAGCCGAUGUCGGAUUAGCUAGUUGGCGGGGUAAAGGCCCACCAAGGCGACGAUCCGUAGCUGGUCUGAGAGGAUGAUCAGCCACACUGGAACUGAGACACGGUCCAGACUCCUACGGGAGGCAGCAGUGGGGAAUAUUGGACAAUGGGCGAAAGCCUGACCCAGCCAUACCGCGUGGGUGAAGAAGGCCUUCGGGUUGUAAAGCCCUUUUGUUGGGAAAGAAAAGCUGCAGGUUAAUCCCCCGCUGUUCUGACGGUACCCAAAGAGUAAGCACCGGCUAACUUCGUG